rnacentral:rRNA from 1 species
UACGUAGGCAGCGAGCGUUGUUCGGAGUUACUGGGCGUAAAGGGUGUGUAGGCGGUUGUUUAAGUUUGGUGUGAAAUCUCCCGGCUCAACUGGGAGGGUGCGCCGAAUACUGAAUGACUUGGAGUGCGGGAGAGGUGAGUGGAAUUCCUGGUGUAGCGGUGAAAUGCGCAGAUAUCAGGAGGAACACCGGUGGCGAAGGCGGGUCUCUGGGCCGAUACUGACGCUGAGGAGCGAAAGCGUGGGGAGCAAACAGG